GAUGAACGCUGGCGGCGUGCCUCAUACAUGCAAGUCGAGCGAACAGACGAGGAGCUUGCUCCUCUGACGUUAGCGGCGGACGGGUGAGUAACACGUGGAUAACCUACCUAUAAGACUGGGAUAACUUCGGGAAACCGGAGCUAAUACCGGAUAAUAUAUUGAACCGCAUGGUUCAAUAGUGAAAGACGGUUUUGCUUUCACUUAUAGAUGGAUCCGCGCCGCAUUAGCUAGUUGGUAAGGUAACGGCUUACCAAGGCAACGAUGCGUAGCCGACCUGAGAGGGUGAUCGGCCACACGGGAACUGAGAAACGGUCCAGACUCCUACGGGAGGCAGCAGUAGGGAAUCUUCCGCAAUGGGCGAAAGCUUGACGGAGCAACGCCGCGUGAGUGAUGAAGGUCUUCGGAUCGUAAAACUCUGUUAUUAGGGAAGAACAAAUGUGUAAGUAACUAUGCACGUCUUGACGGUACCUAAUCAGAAAGCCACGGCUAACUACGUG
rnacentral:rRNA from 1 species